UACGGGGGGGGCAAGCGUUGUUCGGAAUUACUGGGCGUAAAGGGCUCGUAGGCGGCCAACUAAGUCAGACGUGAAAUCCCUCAGCUUAACUGGGGAACUGCGUCUGAUACUGGAUGGCUUGAGAUUGGGAGAGGGAUGCGGAAUUCCAGGUGUAGCGGUGAAAUGCGUAGAUAUCUGGAGGAACACCGGUGGCGAAGGCGGCAUCCUGGACCAACACUGACGCUGAGGCACGAAAGCUAGGGGAGCAAACAGG
rnacentral:rRNA from 1 species